rnacentral:rRNA from 1 species
GACGAACGCUGGCGGCGUGCUUAACACAUGCAAGUCGAACGGAAAGGCCCUGCUUUUGUGGGGUGCUCGAGUGGCGAACGGGUGAGUAACACGUGAGUAACCUGCCCUUGACUUUGGGAUAACUUCAGGAAACUGGGGCUAAUACCGGAUAGGAGCUCCUGCUGCAUGGUGGGGGUUGGAAAGUUUCGGCGGUUGGGGAUGGACUCGCGGCUUAUCAGCUUGUUGGUGGGGUAGUGGCUUACCAAGGCUUUGACGGGUAGCCGGCCUGAGAGGGUGACCGGCCACAUUGGGACUGAGAUACGGCCCAGACUCCUACGGGAGGCAGCAGUGGGGAAUAUUGCACCAUGGGCGGAAGCCUGAUGCAGCAACGCCGCGUGCGGGAUGACGGCCUUUGGGUUGUAAAACGCUUUCGCCUGUGACGCAGCGUGAGUGACGGUAAUGGGUAAAGAAGCACCGGCUAACUACGUG